rnacentral:snRNA from 1 species
GGAUGUGAGGGCGAUCUGGCUGUGACAUCUGUUACCCCAUUGAUCACCAGGGUUGAUUUGGCUGAUCUGGCUGGCUAGGCGAGUGUCCCCUUCCUCCCUCAACCUUUCAUGUGCAUCCCUCCCGAAGCUGCAUGCUCUGUCAAAGAGGACAACCACCCCCGAUGGAGGAGGACCAUUCGUUGGUCAAGGGUAUACAAGUAGCUGCCCUCCCCUGCUGGUACCUCCAAACAUGCUCUCAAGCUAAUAUUUAUUUAUUUGUUUGUUUGUUUGGUUGGUUUUUUGAGACAGAGUCUUGCCAUGUAGUUCAGGCUGGUCUUGAACU